GGUGCGCCUGAAAGAUGAAAGGCUCUCAAGAUGGACUCUGGGAGCAAGGACAGGCAUACGGGGGUUGCGGUAAGGGGAGGCUACACCCACGCAUGUCUUAAACACACCCCAUGAGGCAACGAGGGUCACAUUCCUGGCUACAGAGAACAGACUGCAGAGAAGUCUACCUGGGAGUCUUGUCGGAAGUGGGCUGCGGUGUGCGGAUCGCGCAUGGCCGGAAGUGGCGCCGUUUUGGCGCGCCCGCCUGCCGUGGGACCCACACGUCCCGGUAACUUCUGGCGGCGGUGCCAGUUGUCCCCUGUUUGCAGGAUGGGCGAGAAGAGGCGAAGAGCUGUGCAGUUGUUACCCAGAUGUGCGCAGUAGCCCCGGACCAGAACGUUUUUCCACACGAGGUCUGAGCGAAGAAUUGUGGGACCUGAGGAGUUUGAGGGCCUCCGGCCCGAGUGGUCUGUGCAUACGGGUCUGUCUGUUAUCCAGUACUGUGAGGGAGAUGGCCGACUUUAGUCUUCCGCGGGCUGGAAGCAGCUAGGGGUACUUGGAAGCACGGGACACUUCGAGGACAAGCUCAGCCUGGCAGCAUUGUGACUUCGUGGAGGACAGGGGAAUGUGUUCCUCUGUAGACUAUAGAUCUUAGCUACUCUUUGUGUCUCUAAGAACUGUAGCCAAAUGAAAUGACGUUUGAAGGCACAGAAC
rnacentral:lncRNA from 1 species